GAGUAUUUAAUUGGAAGGAGCGGUAAGCUGGUAACAAGAAGAAUUAAUUUGUGGGAGAGAAGAUUACAAUGUUCUUAAUCAUUUUCUUUGUUUGUGUAUCAAAGGAAAAUAUGGCAUCUAAGGGCAAGUACAUUGGUGCUAUUUAAUAAGCGGUCGCAUUGACACGUAAUAUUGAGACAACUUAACAGACAACAUAUACAAUGACUUAUCUUUUUAAGUUGUCUAGUUCUAUUUCCUUAAUUUGUGCAUAUAAAAAAACAAAUAUAUGAGUUGCAUGGAAACCAAAUCUUGUACAAUGGUGGAUUAGUCAUCUCAUAGUCCUAAAACCUAACCUAUGAGGUGGUUGUUUCACGAAACAACGACCUCUUUCUCUCUCCUCACCCUCUCUUCUUCACAUCAGCAAAAAUACUACGUGGCAUUGCAUGAGAUGACCUAUGAGACCGUUGAUGUGUGUAGUAAUGUGCUCAGCCUAAAGAAAAAUGGAGAGAGUACUGUGUAAGAGAAAAGGGAGAGCCUAUGACAACCCUAGCGCAUUAAGAAAAAAGAUUUCAUCAUAUGAGAAUAGUCCUCCCACAAGACGUAACGAAUAGGAAAAUUAAUUUCACCCUCAUGUCUUCACUCCGAUAUCUCUCCAUGAGUAUGUUGGGGUUUAAAAUAUUAUUUUCGCG
rnacentral:lncRNA from 1 species